UACGUAGGUGGCAAGCGUUAUCCGGAUUUAUUGGGCGUAAAGCGAGUGCAGGCGGUUCAAUAAGUCUGAUGUGAAAGCCUUCGGCUCAACCGGAGAAUUGCAUCAGAAACUGUUGAACUUGAGUGCAGAAGAGGAGAGUGGAACUCCAUGUGUAGCGGUGAAAUGCGUAGAGAUUAGGAAGAACACCAGUGGCGAAGGCGACUUACUGGACUGUAACUGACGCUGAGGCAUGAGAGCAUGGGGAGCAAACAGG
rnacentral:rRNA from 1 species